CAGUCGCCGCGGGAAUACGAAGGGGGCUAGCGUUGUUCGGAAUUACUGGGCGUAAAGGGCGCGUAGGCGGCCAUUCAAGUUAGAUGUGAAAGCCCUGGGCUCAACCUAGGAAUUGCAUUUGAUACUGUUUGGCUUGAGUUCGGGAGAGGUGAGUGGAAUUCCCAGUGUAGAGGUGAAAUUCGUAGAUAUUGGGAAGAACACCAGUGGCGAAGGCGGCUCACUGGACCGACACUGACGCUGAGGCGCGAAAGCGUGGGGAGCAAACAGGAUUAGAUACCCGUGUAGUCCCUGUCUCUUAUAA
rnacentral:rRNA from 1 species